GAAUAUGUACGAGUAGAAUAAAGAAUAAUCCUUUACUUUCUUUUACGAAUCAAGAAAGACAUGGUUUCAUAAAAAAAGUAAAUAAAAGUAUAUACACCAUUACUAAUUAAUUUGGCAAAUGUAUCCUAAUGUGUUGAAUAUAUAAUCAGCUGUAAGCUAAAUCGCUGAUAUAAUCAUCUAACAAAUGAGGAUGAUCAACACCAUUGUUCAUGGAUUGUCUACAUAAGUAUCUCACAAAUCCCAACACAAAAAAUAAAAUAAAUGAAUAUCUCAAAUGUUUAGAUAUCCACCAAAAAUAUCUCAAAUGAAAUAUUUAUGGUGUGGUAUUCAAACAUUUGAGAUACUCAUUUAUUUUAUUUUGUGUUGAGAUUUGUGAGAUACUAAUGGUUGAGAAUCCAUAUAUAUGUUAGUUUUUAGUUAUGGGUUUCCAUCAAGAUAUCCAGUCUAGCUAAUUACUAUAUUUAUUUAUAUGUUAUAUAUUUUUUUAAACCUUACUUAGAUACUAUUGGUAAGGUUGUUUUUACAUGGCUUCGUUUUACUAAAUUAUUUUCUUCGAAUUAUGAUACACAUUGCAGUGAAUCUAAAUUGUACCUUAAGAUGUUUAUUAUAAUUAAGAAUAAAUAGGAGAAACAAUAUUUCUUGUUACAUUUCUAUUUUAGUUUUUUUUUUUCAAAAAGCACAUGAAAAUCAUCAAUUUAUUAAUUCUUAUAAGAAAAAUUUAUUUGGUUAAUAAUUUUUAAACAAACAAAACAGAUUAUUUGCAAUAGAUCAUUUUCGAGACAUUCCCUUGAAAAAUGAAAAACCCUUGAAAAAUGUUUCCUUAUUAACAUGGUGGUUGAAAUUACUCGGUUGCUUUCGGUAAGGCAUUAAUACCUUCCGGUGUUCAUCAACAAGCCCAUGAAAAAAAAAACUAAAUUUGAUAUCAAUUCUCUUGAUAAACUUAAAUGAGUGUUUGAGUUCAAAAGAAAGAUGCAUCAUAUAUUUGCUUGGGUAUAAGAAUGUUCUCAUCAUGUUAUGUCUAAAUUUGAUUAAAAAAAUUCUCAAAAGUUCUCUUUAAUUUAAUCCAAGCACAUUUCAUUUAACAUUAUUUCACAUUUCACAAUAACAUAACAAGUUGGUUAGAUUUUUCUUAAAAGUUAUGCUUAGCCAACCGAUCUAAACCAUCAUCGAUAUUAUAGAUUUUUGAUGAACUUCACUUAAAAAGGUUUAUUCCCUUUCUGGUUUUAUCACUUCUUAAUUUGUACAAAUGCUGCAAUUUUCUUCUUGUAAUACUCACCAAUCUAUUUGAUUUGGUAUUGAACACUUUUGUUAAGAACUGCUAAAGUUAGAUAGCAUUAUGGGUUCCUCAUUUUAGUUUAACACUUUAUUUUUUAUAACAUAAAUAAUGCUUUGCAGAAGACUUAGGAGUGGACCUUGGUAAUUACAUAUAUUUAAAAUAAACAUGACUGUCCUAUCUAAUAUUAUGGAGAAAUGAAAAAAACACAUGUAAUCAAUGUCAACAAUAUAUUUUAAAAGUGCAAACUAUAAGAAUAGUAGAAAGACAACUUUUAUUUUCUUCACCGAAAAAAUAGAAGAUGGAAACUUUCUUUGUUUAUGGAAGUUUUCUAUGAUGAGAAAAAAAGCUAUCCAUAGAAGAAAAAUGAUUAGACAAUGGGAAAGAAGCAAAAAAAAAAAACUAUCUUUGGAAAAUUUAAUGUUAUACAUUUCUAGAGUUUUCUGUUUUUGAUUACAUCUGAAUCAUUUUGUUUGGUAGUUUUAGAACAUUUUUAGGUUUGUUUGAGGAUUCUAUUACCGAUGACUAUAAUGAGAUAUAUUAUUGGUUAAAUUUUCAAGAAUGUUAGUAUAUUUUUAAUUAAAUAAUUAUUAUUAAUUACAUACAUUAAUAUGUAACUUGAUAAUUCCAUGGUAAAAAUAAUAAUUACCAUGUUGCUCUUAUAAAAUAGUUUGAGACAGAAAAACAAAAAAAAACUCAUCUACUCGAAAAAUGAAAAACAUCCCGUAGCGGCGGCCCAUCAAACACUCAUAUUGAGCCUCAAAAGCCCAUUUGUUAUGAAUCUUAAAGACGAGUCAGCAAGUUUCACAGGAGUGGCGCCGAGUGAGUCAUCACUCUCGUCGGAGAAAAAAAAACAUUUGCAAAAGCCUCAACGAUGAUCAACAUGGAGAUUAGAGACGACUACAAGUUCCUGAGAGUAGAAGACGCUUUCAAGGCAUUGCAUCUCAAUAUCAGCCUCAUCGGAGUAAUCGUCGAGUUAGACUUCCCCACCGCCUCUGAUUGUUCAUGUACGUUGAGAAUCAUCGAUCCAUGGCACUCUGGAUCUGGCCUUCCUGUGAAGUUCAUCGCUCGCACCAAUCGAGCGCUUCCUCGAGUCGAAUCGAUUGGGGAUAUAAUCUUCCUCUCGAAUGUGAAGAUUGUGCUUGUUAAUCGGAAGAUCACAGCUCUCUGCAACGAAACGUCGUCGUCGUUUGCGUUGUUCAACGGGAAGCAUGGCGAGGGGUUUGUACCGUACCAGUCUUCGCCUAAGUUUCGGAUUAGAGAGCAGGAUAAGAGCUUUUUAUCAAGUCUCAGAGAAUGGAUGAUAACUUAUAAGUUUGAGGAUGGGUCAUGUUGUUUCACAUCCCUGAAAGAUAUUAAAGAAGGGGAGUAUUUAAACCUUAAUUGCCAGGUUGAUUUAUUUGGUUUUUUUCUUUCUUUUUAUUUAAGGAACUGGACUUGUUCUGGUUGGAGAUUAUGGUCUUUUGACAUUGUUUCUCAUUAUUUAUUGCCCUUCAAGAUUGUUCACGUUUCCAAGGACGAUAAAGAUAGGUGUUACAUCUUUGUUUGGGAUGGAACUGAGAUGCCACCGUGCAGUUUCGUGGUAAAGUCAGAAAGGCUUCCUUUAUGUGUUGAACCAGAGAUGCUGCCUACUCAUGUGCUACGCACGUUUCCUACUUUUGGUUCAGUCUUGAGGAUCAUAGUAGAGAAUGUUACUGAGAAGCAGGCCAUUCAGCCUGGUCAACACGUGAAGUUUCUGAACCUUUUCCUCCAAGUAAAUAUGGGACUGUGGAGCGCCACUUUUAGUCCCUCUACAAAGAUGCAGUACACAAUGAGCAGAGAAACGCAAUCCUUUUCACCUCAAAGAUUGAAAAUGUGCAGAGAAAAGUUCUCAUCGAGAUGGAACCCCAUCACGCGUUGUAUUAGUAGUCCUUCUCACUCAGGAAUCACAGGGGUUGCCCAUGAGGACGCUCCGUUUGUUACUCUGAUGGACAUGCUGACCUAUAGCAAUUUAUGCUUAUGCAGGUGACUGCUAAAUUCAGGUGUGUUGUUCGGUUCAUACAAGUGUUUCCCAGAGAUGUCAGAAACUUCCACGAUUUGAACGGCAAAUUCAAACUGCUAGCAAUACUAGAAGAUGCAACCGCCAGAAUCCACGCUUCUCUGUAUGCUGAUGAAGGGGAUAAGUUUUUCGGGUGUGACCCAUCUGAUGAAGAAGCUCUGAUCAAGAAGCUGAAUAAAUUGCUGGGAGGUGAUAGGAUUAACGAAGCUCCAAGAAAUCCUCCGUGGGUGCAAUGUUGCUUGUUCUCUUACUACAGAGUCAAAAAUGAUCAAUGGGGAAGCAGAAGAUUCCGGAUUUUUGAUACAUGGAUCAACGCUAAAUGAGACGCAUUAAAUCAAUGACUAUCAAACAGUUAAUUAUUGUUACCACAGUUAUUAACAUUGACAAAUGACAAGAAGUUCAUAUUGUUAAUUCCGAUGGUUAAGUAGUUUUAGUCGUCAAGGUCACUGAUUUGACAUUGUGA